CGCGUAGGUGGCCACCAUAAGGCCGCGGUGAAAGCUUGGGGCUCAACCCCAGGUCGGCCGCGGCGACUGUGGGGCUCGGGCACCGUAGAGGCAGAUGGAAUUCCGGGUGUAGCGGUGGAAUGCGUAGAGAUCCGGAAGAACACCAGUGGCGAAGGCGGUCUGCUGGGCGGUGGGACUGGAAAGUCCUUCUAGCCGACACUGAGGCGCAACAGCGUGGGGAGCAAACA
rnacentral:rRNA from 1 species